rnacentral:lncRNA from 1 species
UGGAUGUGCAAAAGGCCCUGGCCAAGGGCAGGGGAGCGUUUGUUUCAUCUCCCGCUUCGCCCUGGUUCCUGCGAACAUUGCUGGAGGUCAUCAAGAGCGAGGCCUGGACCGUGGACCUGAGCCGGGAGCUGAGCUGGCAGCUGGGCAGCUCUCCCCGCCUGUCCUGGGAGAAGGUUUGUUCCCUGCGUGGCAUCGCUGCCGCUUGCAUGCCCCAAGGGCUGUGGCAGUGGAGCCACGGGAGGCUCGGGCCAGGGCGAGGGCUGAUGGUGGCGCUCUGCCCCGUGGGCUGGUUUCCCUGCUGCCCACUCUCUUUUCCCAAGAAGGUGCUCGCACUCCCCUCCAUGCUGAGCUGGCAGCAGGGCCAGGCUGGCUGCCAGCUGCUGUUGCGGCUGGUACCACGGGUGCCUCGGUGGGUGCCUGCACGGUGGGGCCACCAUGGCCUGGCCCUCUCCUGCCAGGCUGGGCUGUCACCACAGCUGGGGCUCGGCCUCUUCUCUUGCAGUGGUUCCUGUACAAGGCUCUCAGCACGGCCCUGGCAGCUUGUGGGUGUCUCUGCCACGUGCGAGAGCAGACCCUGAAACAUCUGAAAGCAGCCAGCUUCCUGGAGCUGUGGGAGGCACAGGGAAUGGUUUCAGUUGUGUCCUGCUGUGCCGAGAGCCACUUCCAGCUGGUCUUGUCCUCGGUGAAGGAGUUCACGGGGACUUUGAAACACCAGAAGGUAAAGAGCCUGUGGUGGUGUUGUGGGGAGCUGCCGGGAGGUGUGCAGGGAGCUGCGCCACCGGUCGGGCAUGGGGCAGCUCUUGCCUCGGGAGCACGCAGAGUCCCGGGCAGAGUGGGCUGACGUCUCGGUGCUUCUCUGGCCAACCCCCAGCAGAGUGACAUGGUGAGGACUUGUGCUGCUUGUGCUGCGCUGUUGGUGACAUACGGCAGGAUGGUGCUGUGCACCCCCAGGGAGCAGCUGCUCGCCCAUGUUGCAAGAUACAUCGUGGGGAACGUCCUGCAGCUCUACUGAGAGGGUUGCCAGGUAGGUGCUCGGGGCACAGGGCAGAGCCGGCCGGGUGCCGCCAGCUCCGG